rnacentral:rRNA from 1 species
AUUGAACGCUGGCGGUAUGCUUAACACAUGCAAGUCGAACGGUAUCAUGACCUAGCUUGCUAGGUUGAUGACGAGUGGCGAACGGGUGAGUAACGCGUAGGAAUAUGCCUUGUAGCGGGGGAUAACUUGGGGAAACUCAAGCUAAUACCGCAUAAUAUCUUCGGAUGAAAGCUGGGGACCUUCGGGCCUGGCACUACAAGAUUAGCCUGCGUCCGAUUAGCUAGUUGGCGGGGUAAGGGCCUACCAAGGCGACGAUCGGUAGCUGGUCUGAGAGGAUGACCAGCCACACUGGAACUGAGACACGGUCCAGACUCCUACGGGAGGCAGCAGUGGGGAAUAUUGGACAAUGGGGGCAACCCUGAUCCAGCAAUACCGCGUGUGUGAAGAAGGCCUGAGGGUUGUAAAGCACUUUUAGUGGGGAGGAGGACCUGUAGGUUAAGAGCUAGCGAGUUGGACGUUACCCACAGAAAAAGCACCGGCUAACUCCGUGCCAGCAGCCGCAGUAAUAC